rnacentral:rRNA from 1 species
GAUUGCCUACGGGACGCAGCAGUAGGGAAUCUUCCACAAUGGACGAAAGUCUGAUGGAGCAACGCCGCGUGAGUGAAGAAGUAUUUCGGUAUGUAAAGCUCUGUCAGCAGGGAAGAAAGCAAUGACGGUACCUGACCAAGAAGCCCCGGCUAACUACGUGCCAGCAGCCGCGGUAAUACGUAGGGGGCAAGCGUUAUCCGGAAUUACUGGGUGUAAAGGGAGCGUAGACGGCUGUGCAAGUCUGGAGUGAAAGGCGGGGGCCCAACCCCCGGACUGCUCUGGAAACUGUAUGGCUGGAGUGCAGG